rnacentral:rRNA from 1 species
UACGGAGGGUGCGAGCGUUGUCCGGAAUCAUUGGGCGUAAAGGGCGCGUAGGUGGCGUGGUAAGUCUGUGGUGAAAGCGCGGGGCUCAACCCCGCGUCGGCCGUGGAUACUGCUAUGCUAGAGCACUGUAGAGGCAGGCGGAAUUCCGGGUGUAGCGGUGGAAUGCGUAGAGAUCCGGAAGAACACCAGGGGCGAAGGCGGCCUGCUGGGCAGUUGCUGACACUGAUGCGCGACAGCGUGGGGAGCAAACAGG